GACUACGCUCGGCACGUCCGGGACCCUCCGGCCGUGGCGGUUGCAGCGCCAAAAGCUCGGGCCUCAGCCCCUGACGCUGUGGUGACUCCGCCGCGCCUCGCCGUCGCCCCUGUCCCCGUCCUGCCCGCCGCCUCCGCCGCUGGGGACAUGUCCAACCCCGGAAGCCGGAGGAACGGGCCCGUCAAGCUGCACCUGACAGGUAUAUUGAAAAGUCUGAUUCAGUUACAAUCAGUGUAUGGAAUCACAAGAAGAUCCAUAAGAAACAAGGUGCUGGAUUUCUCCGUUGUGUUCAUCUUUUUCCAGUGCCAUCAACCACCUCAAAGACACUGGUUAUCAGAGGUUGGAUUUAUGCAAACCUGGGCCAAAGGACAGUUAGAAGACGAGCUAUCAGCUUCCCAGUUUGCACAAUUCAUCAAGAAAUAAUGCAGGGCCGCUGGCACAAAUGAUGAGGCAUCUCCCGGAAGCUUAACUUCCUAUCCAUCCCAUCUCUUGGACAGACGAUGCCAGUUAAUUACGUUGAAU
ensembl:lncRNA novel transcript